AGCGAACGCUGGCGGCAGGCCUAACACAUGCAAGUCGAACGAACUCUUCGGAGUUAGUGGCGGACGGGUGAGUAACACGUGGGAACGUGCCUUUAGGUUCGGAAUAACUCAGGGAAACUUGUGCUAAUACCGAAUGUGCCCUUCGGGGGAAAGAUCUAUCGCCUUUAGAGCGGCCCGCGUCUGAUUAGCUAGUUGGUGAGGUAAAGGCUCACCAACGCGACGAGCAGUAGCUGGUCUGCUAGGAUGAUCAGCCACAUUGGGACUGAGACACGGCCCAAACACCUACGGGAGGCAGCAGUGGGGAAUCUUGCGCAAUGGGCGAAAGCCUGACGCAGCCAUGCCGCGUGAAUGAUGAAGGUCUUAGGAUUGUAAAAUUCUUUCACCGGGGACGAUAAUGACGGUACCCGGAGAAGAAGCCCCGGCUAACUUCGUGCCAGCCGCCGCAGUAA
rnacentral:rRNA from 1 species